rnacentral:misc_RNA from 1 species
AAUGACGACAAAAUUAAACUUCCAGAAUAUAAUAAAACUUUUCUCCACCAGUUAAAAGGCAAAUUUAUAUUUUAACAAAAAUAUAAUUCAAGGCAAUUUAGGUUGCAAUCCCACAUCAGUCUUAACAACAUAAAAAGACAAGUACAAGCCUCCCAUAAAUUUUAAGCAAUUUCCAUCCAUCUUAAGAGUUCUGAGCUACCCCCAAAGUGAUAAAUCGACGAAACCCUAUUCAUUCUGUCCAUCCAUUUCGGUGUUAGUUUUCUCAUUCACCUUUUUGUCAGCAUGAUUUCCAUUGCCUUCAUGUAAACCAUGACGUGGAUGAUUUCCCUCCUUACCUGGGGGCGAAUAAUUUUUCCCCUCAUUGGAAUGAUGGCACCGGUGCUUCUGACAAUGAUGAUCAGGCCUCCUAUGGCUUGAUUUUCUACUUUCUUCAUUAUUGUCAUCUGAUGACCUUCCUAAAGAUUGGCUUCUUCGGUCACAACUGUGGUCAUCCCUGCAAUCAUCAGAAUCCAUUGACCCUGAGUCCAUGCUAUGGGAUCGCCUAUGACGUUUAUGAUGCUUUGCAUGGCUUCUGUCCUCAUCAAUUGAGAAAUCUGAAUCACUUGACUCUGCCAUGCGGUGACGCUUGUGACACUUGUGAUGCUUUGAAUGACUUCUCCUCUUGAUUGUACCAUUAUCGUCAUCACUUGAAGAAUCUGAAGCACUGGAUUGUGCUUGCCUGUGGCACCGACGAUGCUUUGCAUGGCUUCUCCUUUUGAUAACUUCAUCAUCAUCAUCAUCAUUUGAAUAAUCAGAAGCACUGGAAUUUGAUCUUGCAUUGUGAUGCCUAUGUCUUCUAUGGUUUUUCUUUUUCUUCCUCCUUUCUUCUUCAGAGUCACUCUCAAAACCAUCACUGCUAUCGUCACUGGAGUCUGAGGACCGUCUUUUUGGCUUUCGAUUGGAUUUCUUUUCCCUCCUCUUCUCAUUGUCACCUGACUCAGAGUGGGCAUGCUUUCUGUGUUUUUUAUGGGUCCUUUUGCGGGACUUUUUUCCAUCAUUGCUAUCACUAUCACUGUCAAUGUCAGACUUCAACACAGAUCUUUUAUGUUUUGCCGCCUUCUGCUUCCUCUCUUUGGCUUCAGCAUCAGCCUUUGCCUUUGCAGCAGCUUCUAAUUUUUGUUCCCAUUUCAAUGGGGCUUCUUUCUUCUCCAAAGCUCUCUUCUUUUUCUCCUCAACCAACUGGAUGAAUUUCUUGCAGUCCAUUUAUAUAUAAGAACAAGCUCAAUAUCUGCAUUUUUGUAUGGCGAUGACCGGAAGUACAUCUCACAGAAGAGAAAAAACAAUGUUAGUUCUUCCAUCAUAAAAAUAAAUCCAAAAAGAAAAAAAGCACAUGCCAUAAAGAGAACACAGUUUCAUGUUUCAUUAUACAAGCACUUGAUGAGCAAGAAGUGCAUGUAAUAUCUUGUACAUAAAGCAGACGUACAAUUAACACAAAAGUAAAUUAGGGAAAAUUGGUGAAGCACUGUUGUCUAAACACUUUUUAUGUCCAACACAGUUCAGCAAAAUGUUUCGCAUUUCUACCACCCCAGGUUCAAAUACCAUUGUCAUGAGAGAAAAAGAAUUAUGGGAAGAAGUAGGGCUAUCAUAGUUAUGCACAAAAAAUUAAUUUUAUGACAUCAGAUUUUACAACAAUUUCAUGACAAUAUAUGGCAAAGGCAAGGUGACUGCUUAAUGCUGCAUAAGCAACCAUAUAGUGAUUACAAUUGUUGUUACACUGGCCCUUCCAUGCAAGACAUCAAAUGGUUACGGUCGUGUUUAAGGGACAAAAUAUGCAUAUCAUAAAAUGAUCCAGAAAGCAUAUUAUAGCAUGAUAUGCGCUAUAUUAAUGAUACUAAGAAGCAUAGGAUGAUAUAAAUAAAAAGCCAUAUCCAUAUCAUGAAUAACAAGAAGAAGCAAUUAAUUUGAUUCAACUUUCCUACCUUAUGUGCAAACAAGAAACACCUCCCUCAAAGCUCAAGCUAACUAGUCCACCACCACAGUCAACAAGUAAAUCUGCAAUGUUAUAAAGAACAGACAAGUCUUUUUGAUUGAGAGAGAACUUCAAACACAACUUAAAGGAAAGUGCAAAUCAGUGUAUUUAAAAGCCUGGUUUCAUAAAAAUAGAGCUAAGCCAUACUUGAACUGGUUGCGAGAGAGAGAAAAUAGAGCUAAGUCAUACUUGAACUGGUUGUGUGUGCGCAUGCGUGCGCGCGUGUUAGAGAGAGAGAGAGAGAGCAGAA